UUUUGGUUUGACAGCAACGAUAUACUAAAGUUGGGAAGUUACAGAGAAGAUUAGCGUGACCCGUGCGCAAAAAUGACAAGCAAAGCCGUGGAGUGUUCCAUGUUUUU
rfam:Bombyx mori DNA, contig: Bm_scaf81_contig32983, strain: p50T/Dazao, build 2, whole genome shotgun sequence.